rnacentral:ncRNA from 2 species
GCGCAUCCGUUGGGGUGCCCCCUGGGGCUGAGAGGCAGCGAUGCCAACCCACCGAACCUGAUCCGGCUCGCACCGGCGUAGGGAACGGAGAUUGCGCGCCC